GAUGAACGCUGGCGGCGUGCCUAAUACAUGCAAGUCGAGCGAACGGACGAGAAGCUUGCUUCUCUGAUGUUAGCGGCGGACGGGUGAGUAACACGUGGAUAACCUACCUAUAAGACUGGGAUAACUUCGGGAAACCGGAGCUAAUACCGGAUAAUAUUUUGAACCGCAUGGUUCAAAAGUGAAAGACGGUCUUGCUGUCACUUAUAGGUGGAUCCGCGCUGCAUUAGCUAGUUGGUAAGGUAACGGCUUACCAAGGCAACGAUGCAUAGCCGACCUGAGAGGGUGAUCGGCCACACUGGAACUGAGACACGGUCCAGACUCCUACGGGAGGCAGCAGUAGGGAAUCUUCCGCAAUGGGCGAAAGCCUGACGGAGCAACGCCGAGUGAGUGAUGAAGGUCUUCGGAUCGUAAAACUCUGUUAUUAGGGAAAAACAUAUGUGUAAGUAACUGUGCACAUCUUGACGGUACCUAAUCAGAAAGCCACGGCUAACUACGUG
rnacentral:rRNA from 1 species